UGGGGAAUCUUCCGCAAUGGACGAAAGUCUGACGGAGCAACGCCGCGUGAGUGAUGACGGCCUUCGGGUUGUAAAGCUCUGUUAAUCGGGACGAAUGGUUCUUGUGCGAAUAGUGCGAGGAUUUGACGGUACCGGAAUAGAAAGCCACGGCUAACUACGUGCCAGCAGCCGCGGUAAUACGUAGGUGGCAAGCGUUGUCCGGAAAUAUUGGGCGUAAAGCGCGCGCAGGCGGAUUGGUCAGUCUGUCUUAAAAGUUCGGGGCUUAACCCCGUGAUGGGAUGGAAACUGCCAAUCUAGAGUAUCGGAGAGGAAAGUGGAAUUCCUAGUGUAGCGGUGAAAUGCGUAGAUAUUAGGAAGAACACCAGUGGCGAAGGCGACUUUCUGGACGAAAACUGACGCUGAGGCGCGAAAGCCAGGGGAGCGAACGGG
rnacentral:rRNA from 1 species